UAAAUAAAUAUAUAUAAACAUAUAUAUUUUAGAGAGGCACUACCAGGACUUCCAUUUCAUCUAGAAGUUCCAGGGAGUAAAUGGAAGUGGCCCUGGGCUUGAUUGAAUAGUGACUGCAGAGCAGGGUUGAGGGUGAGGGGCCCGACGGGGCCUCCCCUUCAGCACCAGGGACAGCGGCUGCCUCACGACUGGCUCCUCUGUGUAGGGGUCUUCAUCAGGACACAGUGCAAGGACUGAGUGCUUUUCAGGAGGCCACAGAUCCAGGACCUGGGAGGAUCACAGGCUGUAAAAUAACAACUGACACUGAAAAAUGAGGUGAAAAAAAAUACAUAGUGUAAGUGGAAAAUCACAGUCGUUUUACUUUGCCUGUAGCAGUCUCCAUUCAAGUGCUUUUCAUAUUCCAGAACAAUGCCUAUCCAUAGGGGAAAAUCCUAUAAGGAAAUGGAAGGAAUAAAAUCACCUACAAUCCACACAUGUCUUAAUAAUCACUGCUUAUAUUCUCACACAUACUUCAAGUUUCUAACUAUCUGAAAUGUUUCACAGGUGAAAAUUAUAUUUAAGUCUCACAUUACAUUUUCAUGUCAGAACAAAAUGGCUUCAGAUAUCACUGUCAAUUAAAAGUCCAGUUACUCUUCAUCCAUUAGCUUUUGGGCUAAAUAUUUAAUUUUUAUAGAAACAGGUGAGAAUAUUUUCAUGUAAGAUAUGGGUGUGGUUGGACAUCUUCCACAGAACAACUGUGGCCUGGUAACUCCACCGACACUGAAGUUUUGUUCCUGUUCACAGAAGUAGACACUGUUGGGGGGGGGACAAGGUGAUGCUGCAGCUCCCCCAGCUGAACGCCCAAUUCACCUUCACUUCAUUCUUAAGGAUGAUAGAGAACAAAUCACUUGCUCAAGGUUAUUCGGUGUGCAGCGAGGUGAAUUUGGUCAGGUUCCUACAGAGAUCACACCUCAACCUACAAGUGAAGACAUUUUCAAAGUGGGUCUCAGCUCCAGGCAUAUUAGAUACCCAUGGAACCAUUCCAGAAUUAGUAGGUGAGACUCUGACAGAUGGGGCCUCAAAUUAUCAAUGUAAUAGUUUUUAUAAAAAUUUAUUUUUUGCCUCACAUGUGCUAGGCGAGUGCUCUACCACUUAGCCACCACCCUGGACCUCAAAGUAAUACUUUUGACAGGAAACAUUCACUCUUGUAAGAAAUAAAAUGCACAGUGUGAAAUAUUGGUUCUUCAUCUGCCUGUCUCUUCAUUUAUGUAAUAUAUUUUUAAAAAAUUGCCUGCCAGUUUAUUUAUUCAUCAAUUCAAGUAUGCUUGUUUUAAUUUCUUUUUUAUUGAUUCUUUUUAGUUAUAUAUCAUGUUAAUAUUCAUUUGGACAUAAUUACUAAAGCAUGGAAUAGAAUUUUCUCUGAUUUAGUCUGCAGUGCUUGCCCUGUCUUUCCACUCCUCCUUCUGCUGUUCCCUUCUCUCUACUUAUCUUCUGCUAUUAACUUACAACUUUAAAAAAAAUAGGAAUUUGUGGCUAUACACAGUGGUGAGAUUCACUAUGGUGUAUUCAUAUAUGUACCUGGGAAAGUUAGGUCGGAUUCACCCCACUGUGUUUCCCUUAUCCCAUCCCUCCUCCCUCCCUCUCAAUCCCCUCCUCUACUCCCUCUACUCCCUCUACUCUUCUAUUUUGAUGGAUCCCCCUGCCCCACUUUUCUUUUCCUUUUUCUUCCCCUCAGUUUGGACUUGCUUUCACAUAUCAGAAAAAAAAUGGCCUCUGACUUUCUGGGUCUAGCUCAUUUCACUUAGCACAGUGGUCUCCAGUCCCAUCCACUUACUGGCAAAUGCCAUAAUUUCAUAUUCUUCAUGGCCGAAUGAUACUCCAUUGUGUGUUAUACCACUUUUUCUCUAACCAUUCAUCUGUUGAAGGGCACCUCGAUUGGUUCUAUAUCUUGGCUAUUGUGAAUUGUGCUGCUAGGAAUAUUGAUGUGUGUCGUGUAUUUUAAAAAAUAUUAAAAUCAAUUAAAUAAAAAGAACAACUAAUAAAUUCUGAAAAAGUAUUAUAAAAGGAAAAAAGUGAACAUUGAUGUGUCUGCAUCCCUGUAACAUGCCAAUUUUAGAUCUUUUGGAUAUAUACUGAGGAGUGAGAUAGCUGGGUCAUAUGGUGGUUCCAUUCCUAGUUGGGGUUUGUUUGUUUGUUUGUUCAGGAAGCACGGCUUUAUUCUGCAAUAUGGAGGAAACAUGCUUUGCCCACUUGCUCCAGACAUAAAUUGUUACCACUCAGGAACUGGCCAGCAAUGCCCUUUGUGGACUCCUUGCAGGGUUCUAAAGACAAACCAGAGCCCCAAAAUUCUUU
rnacentral:lncRNA from 1 species